UACGGAGGGUGCUAGCGUUGUUCGGAAUCACUGGGCGUAAAGGGCGUGUAGGCGGUCUGUUAAGUCUGGUGUGAAAUCCCCUCGCUCAACCCCCGGAACGGCGCCCGAGACGGCUGGCUCGACGAGCCGGGAGAGGGAGGUGGAAUAGCCAGUGUAGAGGUGAAAUUCGUAGAUAUUGGCUGGAACACCGGUGGCGAAAGCGGCUCUCUGGCCCGGUUCUGACGCUGGAGGCGCGAAAGCGUGGGGAGCAAACAGG
rnacentral:rRNA from 1 species